rnacentral:rRNA from 1 species
GACGAACGCUGGCGGCGUGCUUAACACAUGCAAGUCGUACGGUAAGGCCCUUUCGGGGGUACACGAGUGGCGAACGGGUGAGUAACACGUGAGUAACCUGCCCACAACUUUGGGAUAACGCUAGGAAACUGGUGCUAAUACUGGAUAUGUGCUCCUGCUGCAUGGUGGGGGUUGGAAAGCUCCGGCGGUUGUGGAUGGACUCGCGGCCUAUCAGCUUGUUGGUGGGGUAGUGGCCUACCAAGGCGGCGACGGGUAGCCGGCCUGAGAGGGUGACCGGCCACAUUGGGACUGGGAUACGGCCCAGACUCCUACGGGAGGCAGCAGUGGGGAAUAUUGCACAAUGGGCGCAAGCCUGAUGCAGCAACGCCGCGUGCGGGAUGACGGCCUUCGGGUUGUAAACCGCUUUCAGCAGGGACGAAGCUUUUUGUGACGGCACCUGCAGAAGAAGCACCGGCUAACUACGUG